GUGGGGAAUAUUGGACAAUGGGCGAAAGCCUGAUCCAGCCAUGCCGCGUGUGUGAAGAAGGUCUUCGGAUUGUAAAGCACUUUAAGUUGGGAGGAAGGGCAGUAAGUUAAUACCUUGCUGUUUUGACGUUACCGACAGAAUAAGCACCGGCUAACUUCGUGCCAGCAGCCGCGGUAAUACGAAGGGUGCAAGCGUUAAUCGGAAUUACUGGGCGUAAAGCGCGCGUAGGUGGUUUUGUAAGUUGGAGGUGAAAUCCCCGGGCUCAACCUGGGAACUGCCUCCAAAACUGGAUGACUAGAGUACGGUAGAGGGUAGUGGAAUUUCCUGGGUAGCGGUGAAAUGCGUAGAUAUAGGAAGGAACACCAGUGGCGAAGGCGACUACCUGGACUGAUACUGACACUGAGGUGCGAAAGCGUGGGGAGCAAACAGGAUUAGAAACCCGUGUAGUCC
rnacentral:rRNA from 1 species